rnacentral:sRNA from 12 species
CGCGCUGGUGUGGGCACGCCUGGCACUGCUGGGCCGGGGUUCGAGUCCCCGCGGCGUC